GAUAAAGUGACAGCUGUGGAUCCUGACUCCAGUUAUUCCAAAGAGUUUGUGUACAAGGUAGGAAAUGAUCCUGCUGGCUGGGUGACGGUGGAUCCCCUCACAGGAAACAUCACAAUGAUAAAGACGCCCGACAGAGAAUCUCCACACGUUGUUAACGGCACCUACACCAUCUUAGUGUAUGCAGUUGACAAAGGUAUACCACCAAUGACAGGAACAGCUACACUACAUAUCCAUGUGUCUGACCAGAAUGACAAUGUGCCACAGCUAACAGUGGACAGCCUGGAUGUGUGUGUGUCUGAUGCCCCCACAACCACCAACAUCGAGGCCUUUGACCCAG